GACGAACGCUGGCGGCGUGCCUAAUACAUGCAAGUAGAACGCACAGUUUAUACCGUAGCUUGCUCCACCAUAAACUGUGAGUUGCGAACGGGUGAGUAACGCGUAGGUAACCUGCCUGGUAGCGGGGGAUAACUAUUGGAAACGAUAGCUAAUACCGCAUAAUAUUGAUUAUUGCAUGAUAAUUGAUUGAAAGAUGCUAUUGCAUCACUACCAGAUGGACCUGCGUUGUAUUAGCUAGUAGGUGAGGUAACGGCUCACCUAGGCGACGAUACAUAGCCGACCUGAGAGGGUGAUCGGCCACACUGGGACUGAGACACGGCCCAGACUCCUACGGGAGGCAGCAGUAGGGAAUCUUCGGCAAUGGACGAAAGUCUGACCGAGCAACGCCGCGUGAGUGAAGAAGGUUUUCGGAUCGUAAAGCUCUGUUGUAAGAGAAGAACGGGUGUGAGAGUGGAAAGUUCACACUGUGACGGUAUCUGACCAGAAAGGGACGGCUAACUACGUG
rnacentral:rRNA from 1 species